UUUCUUUCUUUUGGCUGGUUUCUAUACAUUUUAUUUCCACCCUGAUCUGUUACUCUCCACCUUUGAGACACCAAAGGGACCAGUUUGGUUUCUAUGCCAUUCCAAUGUUGUUGUUUUUUUUUUAAAUUUAUCAAUGUUGGUUUAGGCUGUCAAACAGGAUCGAUUAAAGUCAGCCAUCCCUGAUGUUUCUCUGUUUGACCAGCAGAGGGAGCUAAACCCUCUGACCUGCUGAAGGAUCCCAUUCACUCAAAGUACUGGGUGCACUUUGUUGUCUAUCCAGAAGAUGGCGACCUCAUCUCACAUUUGAUAGCAAUUAUCUGUCAGGGAGCUUCUGAGGCAGUUCUCACCUCUUCAACCCAGGGAUGUCUUGAGCGUCACACUGUUAAAUCCCCGGGCAGCCUCUCGAUUUAGCCCCCCCCAUCCCCCCAGUGGGUAACCUGGCCUCGAGCUCACACACCUGUCCCAGGGGAGACCUGAGCUCAAAUCCCCUAUCCCCUAUCCCCCCCAAGCUGUUUUCCACCUGACCUCCCAAGAUCCCUGUCUCGUCGAGUGGAGGGCCCAGCCGCCCCCCUCUCAUUUCACAUGGCUGUGGACACAAAGGGAAUAUACGCUGACAUUUCCCUGGAGGACCCCCACAGGUUUUUUUCCCAUCUUGUAAAUCACUGGUUGUGAGAGAUUGUGGACAAAGGCUUCUUCACAAGGAACAGUUCGAUUUUAAUUCAGCACGACCUCCCUCAGUGGACAUCGCGUCAGUCAGGUGAUACAUCCUAUACGAUUUCAAAUGACAACAAGCCGAGACAAACAUGCAGCCGUCUGAUUAACGUAAAGAAGGAGAGAAGAGUCGACCUCCACGCUGCCCCUCAUGGAGCCGUCGCCCCGAGCAACCAUGGAACAAGCCUCAGCAUCUUGAGUCCCCUAGUUACCAAACGUAUGAUCACAUGCAGUAUAAUGUAUAUACAGUUUCCUCUCAGACAACACAUCCUGAGUCCCGCGCAGACAUCGAUACCUGUCUGCAGCGUGUGCGGUGAAAUAUCUGGAGAUCUGCUCUGAAGACGUCAUGUCCUCGAGCGGAUCGUCCGCUGACACCGGCUCUGCUUCAGAUCUAUAAAAGGAAACGGCGAGAAACAUUUUUCUUCCUGCACAACAGCGCAAAACGACAUUGAUUUGUCUCAAUUAAAUAAAAAUCACAGCAUGGCAAGAACUAUGUUGUCAGAGAGAAUGUUAAAUUAAUAAUUUCAUGACUCUCCCUGAAGCCCCUCUGCUCUUCUAGCUCAAAGCCUGGUAUUCUCAAUCUGCAAUCUGAAUCUUCCUGCCAUGUCUCGGCGAUGAUAUACAGUCCAUCCAAUGACGGAUGACUCAGGCAGUGGAGUGAGUCAUCAAGGCUGCCGGUUCGCCCCGUUCGCCUCGUGAUGCAGUGAAAACUCUGACAAGGAGCCACAGUUCGAUUCGAGACCCACCACAGCGCUGUGCCAGUGAUCUCCUCUUCCCGGAAAAAGCCGGCUGACCAAAAUGCUUCAGCGGAGAACCAGUUGCUAGGAGACACCUCCUCCCUGCCCUGUGGAUGUCUGGGUUGCCCAUUGUAAAAGUGUGUGUGUGUGUGUGUGUGUGUGUGGAGAGAGGAUGAGAGUGAAAGGGAGGGAGUUUGAAACAGUCUUGGCAGCGUUACAAAUAUAUAGAUAUAUAUAUACCGUGUAAACCGCUUAUUGUACAAAUAUGAAAAUCUCAUUGCUCCGUCGCAGUUUUAUAAACAAAAUAAAAAGACACGUGAGAUAUUGUGUGAAAAAAUGAAUAAAUAAAUCAGUUGUCUUGAGAUGUGUGGCCUUCGACAGCAGGUUGGAUGCUUCUUUAUUUCCCCUGAUGGAUUUGGUAGUUUUCCAGCUAUUUUGUUCCUGUUUUAUUAUGAACCGCUGAUGCUCAUCUCGCAAAACAAAUCUCCCAAAAUUCAGCCUGGAGAAUACAAUAUAGCCCUCGUAGAGCAGAUACAGGUGGACACUGCCACUUUUUCCUCACCCCUAAAUGACUGAAUACUGUAGGUAGGUUGGUCAGUGCUUUCCAAAAUGACCUGC